UGUUGGGAGAUAUACCGAUGACAUGUACGCAUUCCAGUUCUGUAGAUCCCUGGAGAUAUUUGAAUUACUGCGACUCCAACCCUCAUUGUUAUCCAUUUCACUGAAGUUCAUCUGAAAAUAGAUUUUAAAGGAGUUUACUGUCAUCAUAUUCAGCUAUACGAUGAAAAAAGGAACUAAUUGUAGCGACGUAAUGUUAACGUUACGGAUGUAGUUCGGAUUGAGAAUAGCAACUCUUAAAACCAUAUAGCAUCGGGAGCAGCACCAUCCAGACCGUCUUGUCCAGAAUGUGGAAGGACGUUCCAUGCGAGGAUUGGACUUGUCAGCCAUCUUAGAACCCAUAAAACUCAACGCAGAAAUUAGCAAAGAUGAAGCUAUGGUCAUCUACAUCGAAGGACGAAGAGGAGGGUGUGAACUUGCUAGAUUAAACCAGUCCUCUUUUCUUUCUUAUUCCUGCUUUCUAUGGU